GAUGAACGCUGGCGGCGUGCCUAAUACAUGCAAGUCGAGCGAACAGAUGAGGAGCUUGCUCCUCUGACGUUAGCGGCGGACGGGUGAGUAACACGUGGAUAACCUACCUAUAAGACUGGGAUAACUUCGGGAAACCGGAGCUAAUACCGGAUCAUAUAUUGAACCGCAUGGUUCAUUAGUGAAAGACGGUUUUGCUGUCACUUCUAGAUGGAUCCGCGCCGCAUUAGCUAGUUGGUAAGGUAACGGCUUAUCAAGGCAACGAUGCGUAGCCGACCUGAGAGGGUGAUCGCCCACACUGGAACUUGGACACGGUCCAGACUCCUACGAGAGGCAGCAGUAGGGAAUCUUCCGCAAUGGGCGAAAGCCUGACGGAGGAACACCGCGUGAGUGAUGAAGGUCUUCGGAUCGUAAAACUCGGUUAUUAGGGAAGAACAAAUGUGUAAGUAACUAUGCACGUCGUGACGGUACCUAAUCAGAAAGCCACGGCUAACUACGUG
rnacentral:rRNA from 1 species